GCGAGCAGCUGUAUCACCCUGCAAUUUAUAACGGAACUCAGCAGGCGUGAGCCUGGUCAGUACCUGGAUGGGAGACCUCCUGGGAAAAACUAAGGCUGCUGCUGGAA
rnacentral:rRNA from 1 species